rnacentral:lncRNA from 1 species
UGUAAUUUCAGGAUUUACGACUACCCGUCUUCUCUCAGACUCUGCUCCUGGGAUGUAACAUUCAUUGCUUGCUAUGUCUAUACCUCACUACAUGCAAUGCACCUUUAGAAGACUGUCUCCUUACUCCAUAAUGGAAUUUGUCUCUGACCUAUUGCAGCUAUGAGAUAAGCAUUACCUGCCCCAGAGGCUACCUGCCACUCAGUGAAGAUCAUAUGCCUAAGUCAUGACAUCAACAUCAAACUCUCUUCAAAUCUGGGAGAAAGGCUCAGCUCUUACAACCAGGACAAGAAGAAAUGACACCAGUAGAGAGAUCAUUUGGUGAGCAGCAGGGUUGAAAGAGCCUCAAACCAUGGAGAGAGAGCCUGGAUCUCGAGUAGAAAGGCUUCUGGCACUGAAGAAGUCAAACAGGAUCCCUGAGAGGGAAAAAGCCAGGAGCUUGGGGAAUUAUCUUCACCAAGGUCUGUCUAGAGAUGUGGUUGGCAGAUUUAUGACCCCCAAAGAUGUCUACAUCCUAAACCCAGGAAUCUGUUGCUAAGACUGAGUAAAACAAGAAAAGCAAUGGGGAACCUCACUCACAUCCAUGCUUCCUUGUCUCAUCUGUAUGUAUGAUUUUUGCACAACUUAUUUGAUACUUUGGACAUAAAGCAAGGUCUAGAAGUUUGGCUCAGAGUACCUACAUGGGACCUAUCCAUCACAGCAGCCUAAGUGUAGUUAGCUUUAUUCCACAGUAACGGGAUUCCAAGGAAUUUUCAAAACAAUCCUAGCACCUAUGGGGCAUCGUGGUCAUCCAAGCCCUAAGAAGGCUGCUGUCCAUCCAGUCAAGGCUAUCGGAGGGUGUCUGAGGUGUCCUCUCCCUCCUUAUCUGCACCCCUUCCCCUUCCUGCCUUCUCAGCCAGCAGCAGCAUUGCUUCAUUGAGGAAACCUGCACAACACACAAGCAACUAAGAGGCUUCUGGAUUUCAAAAGCCUGAGUUUUGAAGAUCUCAGCCUCCAGCAUUUAUGUCAUAAACAAAAUAUUUGGACCAUUGAUGGAGAGACUUUUACCCUCAGGCUAGAUUAAGAUUCACUAAUCAAGAGAAAGAAAAGAAGCAAAUCGGACCUGAAGAAGGUAGCUGAACCUUGAAGAGGGGAAUAACAGAAACUCAAGGUCAGGUGGAAAAAUCCAAGAGUACUUUACUGAGUUGUGAUGAGGAGACUCAUAGAAGCUUCACAUUUCUCUGACUGGGGCCAACAGGUCCUCCUCCCACACUCUGGACAGCCAGAUUCCUAUUUGGCAUUAAUCUGUGUGUUCCACAGUCCGCUUCUACAGCCUCAGGAAACCUCCCGUCAACACUGGGACCUCGGUAUGGGGCAAAUUUCAGGAGGAAAAGAAUAAAAGGAAUAAAAGUUAAGUCCUCCAGUAUUUUUUGGCAGAAAGGCAGGCAGUUUUCCUGUCAGAUACCAUGGAGAGUGAAUACUUUGAAUAUUUUCCUUUGGAUAUUGUGAGCAAUUUUCAACAGCAAUUAUUUAAAAUAUUUAUGAAAAAAACUGGAUAAGUCUGUCAUCUGAAAAACAUGUAGGUAGGUAUCAAAAUGUCUGUUUCUGGAGAUUGAGUCUCAUACCAGAAAAAUCCCCCAAAACAAUUGGAUGGCCUGCAUCAAAGCUAUUUAAAAAAUCCAGAUAGAAAGUGCUCCAGGAAUAUCUAAGUAAGGAGAAUAGGAGAAGAGCCAAGAGAGGAGGAGAAAGGGAAAAUGAGGAAGAAGUAGAAGGAGAAAGAAAGAGAAAGACCUAGAGAGACAGGGAGACGUAGUUGGCCACACACAGCAAGAGACCAGUGAUGACAGUGAGGCAGACAUUGGGGCCAUGGGGAGUUGUGUGAGCUACAGAAUGCCUGGCUCUGCUCUGAACAAGACCUGGAGGUCUUUACGUUUCUAACUGCCCGGGAGGGUGAAUGUCAACAGACUUUUGCAGAAGAACAAUGAGCUGAGAGUGAGUCUGAAUCAUUUGCCUUCCAUGUGUCAUCCAAUCACAGCUGCUAACACCUGCAGUGGCUCUGCAACCAUGAGCUGGGAAUAAUACAAAGUCAUGUUCUCACCAUACUUGCCCAGAGGACCUGGGCCUGGAUGGAAGAGCUUCAUUGUAGGAGAAGGUUAUUGACAGAUGAGAAGUAUUUAUCCAAUAUGUCUUUGUUCUAUGACUCUUAUCAGCCCAGCUAGAGGGAAGCCUUGAACAACCAGUCUCCUGUUCCUGGGCUCAUAUCUUUUUCUAAGCAAUAUGGCCUUCCCAGUGACAGCAUCAUCAUCCUUCUUCAUCACCACCACUAUCAUCAUCCUCAUCACCAUCAUUAUCCCCAUCAUCAGAGCAGCUACUCGUUAUUGAGCAUUUACUAUGUGCUGGAUAUAUACAUAUAUAUAUAUAUAAUCUGGAAAAUAACUGUGUGAGGGAGGCCCUAUAUACAUCCCAGUUUUGCAGUUUUGCAUAACGCAGGCUCAAAAAGUUAAGUAACUUUCCCAAGAACAAACAGCUGCUAUAUCAGAAGCAAGGCUCAUAUCCAUAGCUUUUCUAGUCCAAAGACUCUAGAACAAGCUAAAUAAAAUGAACAAAUGGGGUCUUCUAUAUCAGUUUGUCCAUGACUCUCCACCACUGCUGCACCCCACCUAUUUCAGAUCCAGGGACAUUGCCAAGUGACAAUGGGGGCUCCUUCCCUAAGAGAUUGAUUGGCUUAUAGAAAAGUUUGAAUGAAUCCAAUUCUAUUGUAUAUGAAUGUUCUUCACAUUAGGAGUCCAUGUACUUUCUCAUCCCCUAAUUUACCUGUACCCUCAUCCAUUUGGCAAAUAGUUAUGGAGUGUCUAUUUUGUGUCUGACACUAUUUUAGGUGUUAAGAAUAGGGUGUGAACAAAACAUACCAAGCUUAUACUUUAGAGAAGGGAGAUCAAUAUGUAAUAUGAAAACAGAAAUAAUUCUAUGAAGAACAAAAAAUGUAAGAGUAUAGAAAGCAAUGGGAGGUGGUGAGGGUGAGCGACAGCUCUCUGAUGAACAGAAGCCUGAACACAGUGAGGGCUGAGCUAUGAGUGUAUGUGAGAGAGGUUCAGUGCUGGCUUAAAGAAGAGCAAGUGCAAAGCCCCCAGCCUAACAAGAGCAUCCCUGGUGUGCUGCAGGAACAGUGAGGGCACCAAUAUUGCUGGUGAAAAGAUGAAGUCAAAGCAGGCACCAGAUAAUUUAAGACUUUGGAGGGUCUGAUGCGGAUUUGGAAUUUUAGUUUGCCAUAUCAAGUUAUUGGAUAAGAGAGCCAUGUUUAGAUUUACAUAUGACAACAAUCUCCCUGGCUCCAGCAAGAAUGCUGUGUAAAGGACUCACUCUGGAGACUAAACUGUAUGUGAAAUUUAGGACUCCUCUGGCCACGACUGGGUAACAAGCCAUGGAGACUUGGAGUAGAUGGUGGUAGAGGAUAGGGGAGCAGUUGUCAAACUCUGGAAAUCCUCUGAUCAGUUGGAUGUGCAGAGUGAGAGAAAAGAGAAAAAUGAAGGAUUACUUCCAGUGAGGCAUGAGACAGCCAUAGAGUGCAAUAUCCCAGAAACCAGGGGAAGAUAGGCAUCAAGGAAGGAGGCACUGAAACUUUCUCAGUGCUGUUAAAAGCUGAGGCCUAGUCCCUUUGCCCAGCUGCUGAAAUCCUAGCUAAGCAAUAGGAGCCAUGUGACAGGCUAAGUGAGAAAUGGAGGAGUUUCUGCGACCAGGACGUCCUGACAUCAUGUCUUUGAGCUUGACUGAAAAAAAUGUCAAUGCUGAGAGACAUCAAGGCCAUCAAUAGCCCAUAACAAAAUUCUCAAGGCCUUGGAUAACUCUCAGGGGAUACACUCCUCCCAGAGAAAAAAGUAUGGCUGUAUGCCUCAUGACUAGUGGGACAUCACCACAGAUCCAGUGGUCAGAAUGGACCACUGAAUCUAUUUUCACUCCAAGGUGCUUUGAGUGUCAGAAUACAAGAAAAUCUUGUUGUUAUUUAGAAAUACUGUUGUUUAUUAAGAGGCUCACAUGCAGUUGGAAAAGUGGGCCAAGUCUAAAAUCUAGAACACACUGCCUGGUCAUGAGCCCAGCCCCAGGUGGGUCACCUGGGCUCUGCAUGUUUCUGGGCAGAGUUAACCAACUUUAGCAUAGAUGGCUAGGACCCACAACUGGCCAUAAUAUGAUACGGAUAACUGUAUAUUCCUGUUCCUGAUUUUAGCUUUUCCUUGAGUAAGUUUCUUGGUUCUAAACUAACCAGAGCAUGACAUUCAAUGGAAAUUCUCAAGAAUACAAUUCUGCUCAAGAUGAUCUCAUUUCAAAAUAUUAUCACCACUUGCAGAGAGUUGAUGGGUGGGAGAGAGUGGGGAGCUUGCUUUAUUAGAAACUAGACCUGACCCACCUUGAACUAUGACAAGUGAAGCCUGGCUGAGUGUCUGUCAAUUGGAGUCCAACCAAUCCCUGUGCUGCAGAGCCCCUAUCUGGCAGACACUGUCAGCCUCAUAGGACAUCUAAGAUGUGUCUCUUCCUACAACACAGAGGCCAGCUGCCUUACUUUCUGUCUUCUGUCUCAUAAAGCUAUUUUUGUUCUCAGCUGGUAGAACUCAGUGACUUUCAGUUUCCCUAAAAAUUCCACUCACACAAAAGAAUUUGUAAACUAGAUGGAUUUGCCUGAAGCUGUCCUGGAGGAGGGAAGAGGUUUUUAUCAUAUACCUUACACCAAAGAGCUUUGAAAGCUCUCCUGGAUAUUUCUGUUUUCCCAAGUUUUUGACUUCCUCUAACUUUAAAUUCACACCCUGCUGCCUCCACUCCACCCCAGCUACCCUUUCCCAGACCCCAGGCUCCUAUCUCUUCCUCGAUCCCAUCUUAUCUUAUACAUAACAGCUUAGCAGCCAUCUCUUUUUAGGUAAUUUGAACAUGUUCUUGGAGAGUUCAACCCCCAAAUCAAAAGAUGUCCUUUUAUCCCAUUAUAACCCCAAACUAUUUUGCUGAUGUUUUCUUCCAUUUCUGAGUCUUUGUGCUCACCAAUAUUCAGACCUAUGUUCUGAACAACAUCAUCUUUAUCUUUUCCCAGAAUCCUGCCCUUUGAGGCAAUCAAUAUCUCUGACAAUUGUUAAGGCUAUUUGGAGUGCAAUCUUGCACAAUAAUAAAAACAGCCACUAUGCAUUGAGCAUUCGCUGUGUGCUAGGCACUCUGCUAAUCACUUGUACUAUAUCAUGUUUUGUAAUCUGCAUAACAGCUGUAGGAAUGUAGCUAUUAUCACUCCACUCUGUAGCUGAAGGAGCUGGGGUCAUAUCGGUAAUAAGACACAGAGCCUACUGUGGCCUAAGCGUGCUGUUACUGGAAAGAUAAGAAUCAAAGGUACAUGCCCUUCUGUCCAGAAGAGUCCUCUCACCCCUAGGAGGCCAGGAAACAUCACUCCCUGCCCUGAUAUUCAGGGAACAGGAAAAAGGCAGGAAAGAGGCCUUUGCUCCUGGGUUCUAUGUAGUGAAGCAAAUUUCUUAUUUUUUGAGCCAGGUUGCUUUCUUUUUUAAUCAUAGACUAGGGGUACUGUGUGUUCCAUGAACAAUCAUCUUACUGACAUGUUAUUCUGAAGCUUGACUUCAUUCACCGUGACACAUGCUGGUUAUGAAAUACGCAACGGAAUAGAGUUGUAAUGAAGUGAGGCUGGGGAAGGAUUAAAUUAGAAUCUGAACUAAUGCCAGCUAAGAGACCCUACCUCCACUUUAUUAUUAUUAUUGUGUUUAAUAAACAAUCAUUCAUGCUCCGAGGAAAGGGAAACAAUCAGAAACCCAGCAGGGGAGCCAUAAAAUAAAUGUUUAAACCUUGAAUAAAAACAUGUUUGUUCAAACCCAGAGCCGGUCUCUUUUUAUUCAAAAUGAAUGCAGUGAGUUCUCCAACACCUAGAGGUGUUGAGAGGCAUGCAAGUGGAAUUUCAGUUGCAGGGAGGGCUCACCUUUCCCAUCCUCC